AUUGAACGCUGGCGGCAGGCCUAACACAUGCAAGUCGAGCGAUCGGCUGACGGGUUUGUAAUGUUUUGGGACUGCCCGAUAUAUGUGGAUAACUACUGGAAACGCUUUCUAAUACCCCAUACUGUCUUAUAACCCAUAUGGGAUUAGCUAGUAGGUAAGGUAAUGGCUUACCUAGGCGACGAUCCCUCGCUGGUCUGAGAGGAUUAUCAGCCACACUGGGACUGAGACACGGCCCAGACUCCUACGGAGGCAGCAGUGGGGAAUAUUGCACAAUGGGCGCAAGCCUGAUGCAGCAAUGCCGCGUGUAUGAAGAAGGCCCUAGGGUUGUAAAGUACUUUCAGUCGGGAGGCGGUAGAGAAAGAAGAAGCACCGGCUAACUCCGUGCCAGCAGCCGCGGUAAUUG
rnacentral:rRNA from 1 species